rnacentral:rRNA from 1 species
ACAAAGGACGACAUUAGACGAAUCAUCUGGAAAGAUGAAUCAAAGAAGGUAAUAAUCCUGUAGUCGAAAAUGUUGUCUCUCUUGAGUGGAUCCUGAGUACGACGGAGCACGUGAAAUUCCGUCGGAAUCUGGGAGGACCAUCUCCUAAGGCUAAAUACUCUCUAGUGACCGAUAGUGAACCAGUACCGUGAGGGAAAGGUGAAAAGCACCCCGGAAGGGGAGUGAAAUAGAACCUGAAACCGUGUGCUUACAAGUAGUCAGAGCCCGUUAAUGGGUGAUGGCGUGCCUUUUGUAGAAUGAACCGGCGAGUUACGAUUUGAUGCAAGGUUAAGCAGUAAAUGUGGAGCCGUAGCGAAAGCGAGUCUGAAUAGGGCGUUUAGUAUUUGGUCGUAGACCCGAAACCAGGUGAUCUACCCUUGGUCAGGUUGAAGUUCAGGUAACACUGAAUGGAGGACCGAACCGACUUACGUUGAAAAGUGAGCGGAUGAACUGAGGGUAGCGGAGAAAUUCCAAUCGAACCUGGAGAUAGCUGGUUCUCUCCGAAAUAGCUUUAGGGCUAGCCUCAAGUGAUGAUUAUUGGAGGUAGAGCACUGUUUGGACGAGGGGCCCCUCUCGGGUUACCGAAUUCAGACAAACUCCGAAUGCCAAUUAAUUUAACUUGGGAGUCAGAACAUGGGUGAUAAGGUCCGUGUUCGAAAGGGAAACAGCCCAGACCACCAGCUAAGGUCCCAAAAUAUAUGUUAAGUGGAAAAGGAUGUGGCGUUGCCCAGACAACUAGGAUGUUGGCUUAGAAGCAGCCAUCAUUUAAAGAGUGCGUAAUAGCUCACUAGUCGAGUGACACUGCGCCGAAAAUGUACCGGGGCUAAACAUAUUACCGAAGCUGUGGAUUGUCCUUUGGACAAUGGUAGGAGAGCGUUCUAAGGGCGUUGAAGCAUGAUCGUAAGGACAUGUGGAGCGCUUAGAAGUGAGAAUGCCGGUGUGAGUAGCGAAAGACGGGUGAGAAUCCCGUCCACCGAUUGACUAAGGUUUCCAGAGGAAGGCUCGUCCGCUCUGGGUUAGUCGGGUCCUAAGCUGAGGCCGACAGGCGUAGGCGAUGGAUAACAGGUUGAUAUUCCUGUACCACCUAUAAUCGUUUUA